rnacentral:rRNA from 1 species
UGGGGAAUAUUGCACAAUGGGCGCAAGCCUGAUGCAGCCAUGCCGCGUGUGUGAAGAAGGCCUUCGGGUUGUAAAGCACUUUCAGCGAGGAGGAAGGGUAGUGUGUUAAUAGCACAUUGCAUUGACGUUACUCGCAGAAGAAGCACCGGCUAACUCCGUGCCAGCAGCCGCGGUAAUACGGAGGGUGCAAGCGUUAAUCGGAAUUACUGGGCGUAAAGCGCACGCAGGCGGUUUGUUAAGUCAGAUGUG